rnacentral:tRNA from 2 species
GGAGGAUUCGCCUAGUGGCCUAGGGCGCACGCUUGGAAAGCGUGUUGGGAGCAAUCCCUCGGGGGUUCGAAUCCCCCAUCCUCCGCCA